UAAGAGUUAGCAAUGAACUUGCACCAAAAUUUCAGAUUUUCAGAUUUCAUUUUUACCCUGUGAGAAUGAGAAUCUUAUAGAACUGACGUUAAUCUCUCAAAGUGCUUACUCUGAGCAGUAGCAGGGUGUCUACGUUUGUUUUUUAGUUCGAUCGCAGAACUUUCGGAGGUUAUUAAUCUUAUGCCAAUUUGCCCCUAUUGACAUCACUUCACGCUUCAAUUUCUUGUUGUCUUCGAGAUAAACCUUUGGGUCGACGCCAUUAGACUCUCCAUUUUUAGAUGAUGAAGUGUUUUCAACACGAGGGUAUUUUCCAUUGCAUUGUGGUCAAAUGUAAAUUUCACCGUCAACUGCCCAAUACCAAUAUGGCGAAAUCACCAAUAUUGUGUCCAUAGGGAAAUUCUGAAGGCAAAAAUCACAAUGAAGAGUCCAUGAAUGCUGGAGCUUGGAUUUCUCUGUCAAAGAUGAAUCAAUGAUGAAAAAUAUUCUAGAGAGAUAAAACACUAUGUUGGCCGAUAGGAUGAACAAACAACGUGGAGGAUCGAGCAUUGAAUUACUCUUUUUGCUCUAUAUCAUAAAGGCUAAUAAUACCACAAAAUGUCUGAUUUCAAUAAUGCCAUUUAGGCAAUCGGGCAAAAUUGUUCAUUUUGCCCGAUGCUUUCAAAUUUCAAUGAUUGGUGAUUGUAACUAAGGCUCUUGGAAAUUGUCAUGCCCCAAGAUAAUUCAUACUAAUUUCGUUUGGGCUCAGGCUGAUGAUUAAAAAUUGAAGAAUG